AGGUCAGAUCCAGGCUGGUUGCAGGAGGCAGAGUGCAGGGCAGAGAUAAGAGUGAGAAAGGAAGACCACAACGACUAAGGUGGAGCUACUAAAAGAAGGAAUUUCUGAGGAGAAGAAAGGCAUGUUUGAAGAUUCUUCAUCUACAUAACCAUAUUAUUGCUCUUUAUAAUGACUAUAGUGUUAACAUCUAUAAAUAAUAAAUGCCAAUAUAAAAUA